rnacentral:rRNA from 1 species
AGAGUUUGAUCAUGGCUCAGAUUGAACGCUGGCGGCAGGCUUAACACAUGCAAGUCGAACGGUAACAGGAGAAAGCUUGCUUUCUUGCUGACGAGUGGCGGACGGGUGAGUAAUGCUUGGGAAUCUGGCUUAUGGAGGGGGAUAACGACGGGAAACUGUCGCUAAUACCGCGUAGAAUCGAGAGAUGAAAGUGCGGGACCGCAAGGCCGCAUGCCAUAGGAUGAGCCCAAGUGGGAUUAGGUAGUUGGUGGGGUAAUGGCCUACCAAGCCGACGAUCUCUAGCUGGUCUGAGAGGAUGACCAGCCACACCGGGACUGAGACACGGCCCGGACUCCUACGGGAGGCAGCAGUGGGGAAUAUUGCGCAAUGGGGGCAACCCUGACGCAGCCAUGCCGCGUGAAUGAAGAAGGCCUUCGGGUUGUAAAGUUCUUUCGGUGACGAGGAAGGCGUGAUGUUUAAUAGGCAUCACGAUUGACGUUAAUCACAGAAGAAGCACCGGCUAACUCCGUGCCAGCAGCCGCGGUAAUACGGAGGGUGCGAGCGUUAAUCGGAAUAACUGGGCGUAAAGGGCACGCAGGCGGCUAUUUAAGUGAGGUGUGAAAUCCCCGGGCUUAACCUGGGAAUUGCAUUUCAGACUGGGUAGCUAGAGUACUUUAGGGAGGGGUAGAAUUCCACGUGUAGCGGUGAAAUGCGUAGAGAUGUGGAGGAAUACCGAAGGCGAAGGCAGCCCCUUGGGAAUGUACUGACGCUCAUGUGCGAAAGCGUGGGGAGCAAACAGGAUUAGAUACCCUGGUAGUCCACGCUGUAAACGCUGUCGAUUUGGGGAUUGGGCCUUGAGCUUGGUGCCCGAAGCUAACGUGAUAAAUCGACCGCCUGGGGAGUACGGCCGCAAGGUUAAAACUCAAAUGAAUUGACGGGGGCCCGCACAAGCGGUGGAGCAUGUGGUUUAAUUCGAUGCAACGCGAAGAACCUUA